rnacentral:rRNA from 1 species
GAUGAACGCUGGCGGCGUGCCUAAUACAUGCAAGUCGAGCGAACGGACGAGAAGCUUGCUUCUCUGAUGUUAGCGGCGGACGGGUGAGUAACACGUGGAUAACCUACCUAUAAGACUGGGAUAACUUCGGGAAACCGGAGCUAAUACCGGAUAAUAUUUUGAACCGCAUGGUUCAAAAGUGAAAGACGGUCUUGCUGUCACUUAUAGAUGGAUCCGCGCUGCAUUAGCUAGUUGGUAAGGUAACGGCUUGCCAAGGCAACGAUGCAUAGCCGACCUGAGAGGGUGAUCGGCCACACUGGAACUGAGACACGGUCCAGACUCCUACGGGAGGCAGCAGUAGGGAAUCUUCCGCAAUGGGCGAAAGCCUGACGGAGCAACGCCGCGUGAGUGAUGAAGGUCUUCGGAUCGUAAAACUCUGUUAUUAGGGAAGAACAUAUGUGUAAGUAACUGUGCACAUCUUGACGGUACCUAAUCAGAAAGCCACGGCUAACUACGUGCCAGCAGCCGCGGUAAUACGUAGGUGGCAAGCGUUAUCCGGAAUUAUUGGGCGUAAAGCGCGCGUAGGCGGUUUUUUAAGUCUGAUGUGAAAGCCCACGGCUCAACCGUGGAGGGUCAUUGGAAACUGGAAAACUUGAGUGCAGAAGAGGAAAGUGGAAUUCCAUGUGUAGCGGUGAAAUGCGCAGAGAUAUGGAGGAACACCAGUGGCGAAGGCGACUUUCUGGUCUGUAACUGACGCUGAUGUGCGAAAGCGUGGGGAUCAAACAGGAUUAGAUACCCUGGUAGUCCACGCCGUAAACGAUGAGUGCUAAGUGUUAGGGGGUUUCCGCCCCUUAGUGCUGCAGCUAACGCAUUAAGCACUCCGCCUGGGGAGUACGACCGCAAGGUUGAAACUCAAAGGAAUUGACGGGGACCCGCACAAGCGGUGGAGCAUGUGGUUUAAUUCGAAGCAACGCGAAGAACCUUACCAAAUCUUGACAUCCUUUGACAACUCUAGAGAUAGAGCCUUCCCCUUCGGGGGACAAAGUGACAGGUGGUGCAUGGUUGUCGUCAGCUCGUGUCGUGAGAUGUUGGGUUAAGUCCCGCAACGAGCGCAACCCUUAAGCUUAGUUGCCAUCAUUAAGUUGGGCACUCUAAGUUGACUGCCGGUGACAAACCGGAGGAAGGUGGGGAUGACGUCAAAUCAUCAUGCCCCUUAUGAUUUGGGCUACACACGUGCUACAAUGGACAAUACAAAGGGCAGCGAAACCGCGAGGUCAAGCAAAUCCCAUAAAGUUGUUCUCAGUUCGGAUUGUAGUCUGCAACUCGACUACAUGAAGCCGGAAUCGCUAGUAAUCGUAGAUCAGCAUGCUACGGUGAAUACGUUCUCGGGUCU